rnacentral:rRNA from 1 species
CAGCCGCCGCGGGAAUACGAAGGGGGCUAGCGUUGCUCGGAAUUACUGGGCGUAAAGGGAGCGUAGGCGGAUCGUUAAGUUGGGGGUGAAAGCCCGGGGCUCAACCUCGGAACUGCCUUCAAUACUGGCGAUCUUGAGUAUGAGGGAGGUGUGUGGAACUCCGAGUGUAGAGGUGAAAUUCGUAGAUAUUCGGAAGAACACCAGUGGCGAAGGCGACACACUGGCUCAUUACUGACGCUGAGGCUCGAAAGCGUGGGGAGCAAACAGGAUUAGAUACCCCGGUAGUCCCUGUCUCUUAUAC